UUUAGGUAAAUCCGGGGAUCUUAGAUGAGGGGUGAUAACGAGGCAGCUUGCUGCCGAAGUGAGUGAUACCCUGCUUCCAGGAAAAGCCACUAAGCUUCAGCUACACACGACCGUACCGCAAACCGACACUGGUGCGCGAGAUGAGUAUUCUAAGGCGCUUGAGAGAACUCUGGAGAAGGAACUCGGCAAAUUGACACCGUAACUUCGGAAGAAGGUGUGCCUUUAGUAGGUGAUCCAUUUACUUGGUGAGCCCAAUGAGGCCGCAGAGAAUCGGUGGCUGCAACUGUUUACUAAAAACACAGCACUCUGCAAAGACGAAAGUCGACGUAUAGGGUGUGACGCCUGCCCGGUGCUGGAAGAUUAAAUGAUGGGGUGCAAGCUCUUGAUUGAAGUCCCAGUAAACGGCGGCCGUAACAAUAACGGUCCUAAGGUAGCGAAAUUCCUUGUCGGGUAAGUUCCGACCUGCACGAAUGGCGUAAUGAUGGCCACACUGUCUCCUCCAGAGACUCAGCGAAGUUGAAAUGUUUGUGAUGAUGCAAUCUCCCCGCGGAAAGACGGAAAGACCCCAUGAACCUUUACUGUAGCUUUACAUUGGACUUUGAACAGAUCUGUGUAGGAUAGGUGGGAGGCUUUGAAGCGGUGCCGCUAGGUGUCGUGGAGCCAACGUUGAAAUACCACCCUGGUGUGUUUGAGGUUCUAACCUUGGCCCGUUAUCCGGGUUGGGGACAGUGUAUGGUGGGCAGUUUGACUGGGGCGGUCUCCUCCCAAAGUGUAACGGAGGAGUUCGAAGGUACGCUAAAUACGGUCGGAAAUCGUGUUGAUAGUGCAUUGGCAUAAGCGUGCUUGACUGCGAGACUGACAAGUCGAGCAGGUACGAAAGUAGGACAAAGUGAUCCGGUGGUUCUGUAUGGAAGGGCCAUCGCUCAACGGAUAAAAGGUACUCUGGGGAUAACAGGCUGAUACCGCCCAAGAGUUCAUAUCGACGGCGGUGUUUGGCACCUCGAUGUCGGCUCAUCUCAUCCUGGGGCUGUAGCCGGUCCCAAGGGUAUGGCUGUUCGCCAUUUAAAGAGGUACGUGAGCUGGGUUUAAAACGUCGUGAGACAGUUUGGUCCCUAUCUUCCGUGGGCGCUGCAAGAUUGAGAGAGCCUGCUCCUAGUACGAGAGGACCGGAGUGGGCGCACCUCUGGUGCAUCGGUUGUCACGCCAGUGGCAUAGCCGAGUAGCUAAGAGCGGAAGAGAUAACCGCUGAAAGCAUCUAAGCGGGAAACUCGUCUCAAGAUGAGUCUUGCCGGGGCCUUGAGCCCCCUGAAGAGUCGUUCGAGACCAGGACGUUGAUAGGCUGGGUGUGAAGCGCAGUAAUGCGUUAAGCUGACCAGUACUAAUUGCUCGUGAGGCUUGACCUC
rnacentral:rRNA from 1 species